rnacentral:rRNA from 1 species
UACGUAGGGUGCAAGCGUUAAUCGGAAUUACUGGGCGUAAAGCGUGCGCAGGCGGUUAUGUAAGACAGGUGUGAAAUCCCCGGGCUUAACCUGGGAACUGCAUUUGUGACUGCAUAGCUAGAGUACGGCAGAGGGGGAUGGAAUUCCGCGUGUAGCAGUGAAAUGCGUAGAUAUGCGGAGGAAUACCGAUGGCGAAGGCAGCCUCCUGGGCCAACACUGACGCUCAUGCACGAAAGCGUGGGGAGCAAACAGG